rnacentral:rRNA from 1 species
UACAGAGGUCUCGAGCGUUGUUCGGAUUCAUUGGGCGUAAAGGGUGCGUAGGUGGCGCCGUAAGUCGGGUGUGAAAUUUCGGAGCUUAACUCCGAAACUGCAUUCGAUACUGCGGUGCUUGAGGACUGGAGAGGAGACUGGAAUUUACGGUGUAGCGGUGAAAUGCGUAGAUAUCGUAAGGAAGACCAGUGGCGAAGGCGGGUCUCUGGACAGUUCCUGACGCUGAGGCACGAAGGUCAGGGGAGCAAACGGG